GAGGGUCUGGAGGAUGCCGUGACCUGCUUGGAGAAGCGCCGCUGCUGCCGCCAGUGGUUGCAAGUCGCGAUCUGAUGGCUGGGCAGGCGUUGUUCCGGCGAGGUGCUGCACAGGUAGAAUUGAGGAGUUUUUACCCGCGGCGAUGCCAUUGGCAUAAUCUGAAUCAUUCUUGGUUGCUUUCCAAAUUAUAUCAUGUAUGCUAAAACAUGUCAGCUUAGCCUGUUCGAUCUUGUGCCAAACCUGUUCUAUGUCAAAAGUGGCCUGACAGACAGUCUUGGACCAAGUACUUCAGGAAUAUGGUCCAGCCGUCCAGGUAUGGGAAUGUUUUGAUUGAUUCAAAAAUCACUUCCUUUUUAUACUGAUGAAGAAUGAACACAGGCAAGGAAUAGAUUUCUGUCCUUUUGCAACCGGCACUCAUGUUUGUUUCAAAAAUAGUUCAGAGUUAAAUUCUCUAAAAGCUUGCUACUAAAAAUAUUAGUAUGCAUAUCUCCCCUAAAGCAUAGUGCUGAAACAUUAUGUCAUUGCAAUCAGCCCCAAAUCCUUGAUUUGGCCAGGGCGAAUACACAUUGAGGGGGCCUUGCCUCCUCCUUCCCGCCCACACCUUCAUUCUUUUCCUCCUCUGAUCUUAGAAAGCAUACUAAACUUCACUCCAAUCUUUCCCCUUGACGGGCACUCCAGGACCCGCCUACGCUCGUGAAAACCCAGGUCGGUCCUCCGACCAGAUGUGUGGAUAACGAGGCUUUGUUCAGAGUUUGCAUAACUUUCGUAAAUAGUUCAAGUUCAGUUUCUCUGAACUGAUGCACUUCUUGAAGGGUUCUAUCUGAAUGUGCAUCAAUGUAGCAUUUAGUUUACACAACAUUUUUCCAUCAGCUCGAUUAUCAAUGUACCAUUUAGAUUACACAACAUUUUCCUGUCACAUCAAGUUUACUUGUAAAAGUCCUUCAAUCCAUAUUUCUGAAUUUUGAUGGCAAGAUUCUUUGGUAUUCACCUGUCACAUUGGUUAGCACGGUAGGCAUACAUCUGUCAAAUGUUUCUGUUCUUGUUCGUAUUGACAAGGUUAUACCCAGUUCUCUUUAUAAGAAAGGGGAAUCAUUCAUGUUUGCCAUAUGCUACUGUAAGGUUGCUUUUAUUCUUUCUGGAAGCUUCUUUUGGUUGCUUUCUGUUUCAGAGUUCUGAACUUUCAACUUGAUCUACAUAUGCCAGACAUGCAAAUGAUUUGGCUUAUGCACAUAGGAUGCAUUUCACACUGAUGUUACCAGUGAAGGAAGUACCACAGAUGAAUACAGAAAUCUAUUCCAGUACAUGUUACCAUACUACCCUUUCUUUGUUUGUAUUUUCAGUUUUGGAAAAGGUGGAAAUGGCAAUCACUCAAUAUGGAGGGCAUGUUUGAUAAUGCAACCUGUCUAGGCACAUAAUAGGUCAUGCUUUAAACUUGCAGCUUAUCAGUUCAUGUUUAGGAUUUUUUCCUAAGGCAUUAAGGAGAACCACGAGUUUCAAGAAAAUGUGAUGGUCAGAACCCCACAGGUGGAGGAGGGAUAGGUUAGUUGUGUGUAGAUGGAGUGGUCUCUCUGUUCUUGCGACAUCCAAACCAGCACCUAAAAGAAGAGUGAGAAAUGGCAACAAAGAGCUUGCUGCAGGAGACUCAGUUUUGGCAUCGAACAAAGAUGAAGACUCAGGACUCAGGUGAUGUGACCACCAAAGAGGCAUUGGUCACAGCUUUGGUUGGCCUUGUGGCAUAAACACGAGGCGUUGAGGCAAGAUUUUGCAAGUUCUGAACUUGGUGUGAUGCUGAAGAGCCGAGCACAAUGGAUAUACAUGUGAUGGAUGAUGUUUCCCUCGAUAAUAAGGAGAGGGUGUUUAGUUCUUUUUCUUCUUGCAUAUAAGCAAAAGAAUAUUAGAUAGAGAAUAGUGGAUCAUAUAUAUCUUCCCUACAUCUUCCAGUGUAUCACAUGAAUCUUCUUGCAUGAGAUUUUGUUUAGCUCUAUGGUAGUCAAGUUAAAUAGAUUCGGACCAAAUAGAAGAUAAAAAGAACUACCCUUGUAUUGCUAAUAAAAUCGUUUGUGUAUAAUCGGAAAUACCAUGGAAGCUUGAGUUUUUUCUUGUAAAUAAUAUUUUGGACCUUUUAGAAUUUUUCAAUGAUUUAUCUAUGUCAA